UUUGUUUUUUUUUCGAGAUGGAGUCUUCCUCUGUCACCCAGGCUGGAGUGCAGAUCUCAGCUCAGGGGAACCUCCACCUCCCGGGUUCAAGCAAUUCUGCCUUACCCUCUUGAGCAGCCAGGAUUACAGGCGCAUGCCACCACCAUGCCCGGCUAAUUUUUGUAUUUUUUUUUUUUUAGUACAGACGGGGUUUCACCAUGUUGGCUUGGCUGCUCUCAAACCCGACCUCAUGAUCUACCCGCCUCGGCUUCCCAAAGUGCUGGGAUUACAGGGUCCGGGAAUCACUGACCCAGGAAGGAAGACAGAAAUGUAAGGCGUAAAGAGUAAUGCGUCGAGAGCCAGCGAUAUGCGCCUCAGACGUCGGCCUAAUAGGCCCCUAGAGUCAAGAGCAGUGUCUGUCACCGCCACCAAAACUGUACGUGCGGCAGCGCCUGGACUCGGCCCAGCUAAGCCGGCGUCGGUUCAGAAUGCCUAAUUUGGUCCCACAAGAACUCCUUCUCUGAAGCUGCGGGCGUUUCUACGCUGCGCAAACCGAACACCUCCUCGCCGUCGCCGCCACUGCCGCUGCUCCCCUACAGCCGCCGCCGCCGCUUCGCCGCCGCCGCCGCCUAACCAAUUCCUCCCCUACCGAGGAGAGCACGACACUAGGGCUCUUUACGACAGUUCGGAAAGUGAGAGCGCAGUAGCCUUCACGCCUCCAUUAACAUCUGUUUGUUUCUGCGCUUGCUCGAUUCCCGUUUCUCAGCGUCCCGCCCCCUCGGUCCCGAUCCUCCCCCUUUGUACUGGUUUUAUCAGUCUGUUGGCGAACUGAAA